rnacentral:rRNA from 1 species
AUUGAACGCUGGCGGCAUGCCUUACACAUGCAAGUCGAACGGCAGCACGGGUGCUUGCACCUGGUGGCGAGUGGCGAACGGGUGAGUAAUACAUCGGAACGUACCUUAUCGUGGGGGAUAACGCAGCGAAAGCUGUGCUAAUACCGCAUACGCCCUGAGGGGGAAAGCGGGGGAUCGCAAGACCUCGCGCGAUUAGAGCGGCCGAUGCCUGAUUAGCUUGUUGGUGGGGUAAAAGCCCACCAAGGCGACGAUCAGUAGCUGGUCUGAGAGGACGAUCAGCCACACUGGGACUGGAACACGGCCCAGCCUCCUACGGGAGGCAGCGGUGGGGAAUUUUGGACAAUGGGGGCAACCCUGAUCCAGCAAUGCCGCGUGAGUGAAGAAGGCCUUCGGGUUGUAAAGCUCUUUUGUCAGGGAAGAAACACCGGCUCUAACACAGUCCGGGAAUGACGGUACCUGAAGAAUAAGCACCGGCUAACUACGUGCCAGCCGCCGCGGUAA